rnacentral:rRNA from 2 species
CGGGAGGCAGCAGUAGGGAAUCUUCCGCAAUGGACGAAAGUCUGACGGAGCAACGCCGCGUGAGUGAGGAAGUCUUUCGGGUCGUAAAGCUCUGUUGUGAGAGAAGAACAAGUACCGGCGUAACUACCGGUACCUUGACGGUACCUCACCAGAAAGCCACGGCUAACUACGUGCCAGCAGCCGCGGUAAUACGUAGGUGGCAAGCGUUGUCCGGAAUUAUUGGGCGUAAAGCGCGCGCAGGCGGCUUCUUAAGUCUGAUGUGAAAUCUCGGGGCUCAACCCCGAGCGGCCAUUGGAAACUGGGAAGCUUGAGUGCAGAAGAGGAGAGUGGAAUUCCACGUGUAGCGGUGAAAUGCGUAGAUAUGUGGAGGAACACCAGUGGCGAAGGCGACUCUCUGGUCUGUAACUGACGCUGAGGCGCGAAAGCGUGGGGAGCAAACAGGAUUAGAUACCCUGGUAGUCCACGCCGU